rnacentral:tRNA from 1 species
GGAGGGAUGGCAGAGUGGUUGAAUGCACCGGUCUUGAAAACCGGCGAAGGUGCGAGCCUUCCCAGGGUUCGAAUCCCUGUCCCUCCGCCA